rnacentral:tRNA from 1 species
GGAGGUGUCGCCUAGUGGCCUAUGGCGCACGCUUGGAAAGCGUGUUGGGUGCAAGCCCUCGGGGAUUCGAACCCGUGAGGGCUGUCCGCCGCUA